GUUCCCAGCUCUGAGCACGGCACCGAAGCCUUCAGAAGGCAGCAUGACAGAGGCAAAGGACUCAGUAUUUCUGAAAUGACUGGGAAAGGCGCCGAAAAGCAGUUCUCAGCAUUUUUUGGAGUAGACUGUCAAGAUAGAUCUCAAUCAAAACCUGGAUUGUUUUUCACUUUAUCUCAACCUGAUUAAACAGCAAGAAAAGAGGAUUCUGUCCUGAGGACCUGCUAGCUUGAAAGAAGUCUGCCACGGAGUGAUUAUAUAAACAUGAAAACUCACAGUUCUCUUUACUUUUUGGGCUGGGGCGGGGGGAGGGUCCGUCACAUCAAACUGCAGCUAAAGGGUUUGUCAUUUGACAAUCUCAAAUAUUGUAAAAUCUGACUCCCAAAGAAGACCUACUU